UACGAAGGGGGGCUAGCGUUGCUCGGAAUCACUGGGCGUAAAGCGCACGUAGGCGGAUUGCUAAGUCAGGGGUGAAAUCCUGGAGCUCAACUCCAGAACUGCCUUCGAUACUGUAGAGCUUGAGUUCGGGAGAGGUGAGUGGAACUGCGAGUGUAGAGGUGAAAUGCGUAGAUAUCGUAAGGAAGACCAGUGGCGAAGGCGGGUCUCUGGACAGUUCCUGACGCUGAGGCACGAAGGCCAGGGGAGCAAACGGGG
rnacentral:rRNA from 1 species